GACGAACGCUGGCGGCGUGCUUAACACAUGCAAGUCGAACGGUAAGGCCCUUCGGGGUACACGAGUGGCGGACGGGUGAGUAACACGUGGGUGAUCUGCCCUGCACUUCGGGAUAAGCCUGGGAAACUGGGUCUAAUACCGGAUAGGACCCUGGGAUGCAUGUCCUGGGGUGGAAAGCUUUUGCGGUGUGGGAUGGGCCCGCGGCCUAUCAGCUUGUUGGUGGGUGAUGGCCUACCAAGGCGACGACGGGUAGCCGGCCUGAGAGGGUGACCGGCCACACUGGGACUGAGAUACGGCCCAGACUCCUACGGGAGGCAGCAGUGGGGAAUAUUGCACAAUGGGCGCAAGCCUGAUGCAGCGACGCCGCGUGAGGGAUGACGGCCUUCGGGUUGUAAACCUCUUUCAGCACCGACGAAGCGCAAGUGACGGUAGGUGCAGAAGAAGGACCGGCCAACUACGUGCCAGCAGCCGCCGUAA
rnacentral:rRNA from 1 species